AUUGAACGCUGGCGGCAUGCCUUACACAUGCAAGUCGAACGGCAGCACGGGGGCAACCCUGGUGGCGAGUGGCGAACGGGUGAGUAAUGCAUCGGAACGUGCCCAGUAGUGGGGGACAACCAGUCGAAAGAUUGGCUAAUACCGCAUACGACCUAUGGGUGAAAGCGGGGGACCGUAAGGCCUCGCGCUAUUGGAGCGGCCGAUGUCUGAUUAGCUAGUUGGUGAGGUAAAAGCUCACCAAGGCGACGAUCAGUAGCUGGUCUGAGAGGACGACCAGCCACACUGGGACUGAGACCCGGCCCAGACUCCUACGGGAGGCAGCAGUGGGGAAUUUUGGACAAUGGGCGCAAGCCUGAUCCGGCCAUGCCGCGUGCGGGAAGAAGGCCUUCGGGUUGUAAACCGCUUUUGGCAGGAACGAAACGGCGACCUCUAUUACGGGUCGUUAAUGACGGUACCUGCAGAAUAAGCACCGACUAACUACGUGCCAGCCGCCGCCGUAACAC
rnacentral:rRNA from 1 species